AUGGAGGAAACGGACCUUUAUUUCAUGGAGUGGCGACAAGAAGCCAAGGCGGGUGGCCAGUCUAAGAAGCCUCCAUCAUCAAGCUAGCAGAAAUCCUACCUCUCCUUCUGGCUACAGAGUACUUACCAAGCCCAUGAAAUCGAAUGCAGAUCUUCCUAAUGUGAGAUUUACAUAAAUGUAAGUAAUUUUGUUUGUCAUUGUCAUUAAUGUUGUUGCUGUUGUUGUUUUUGUGCAGUUUGCAAUCAUAUAAACCUAGCAAGCAUCAGUCAGCACAGUGACUAACCUAAACAGAUUCUUGCUUUAUUCACAUAUAUUAUAUGUAAUUAUAUAUACCUGCACAUUGUACCUAGGGUUGCAGCCACUUGGCCCCACCCCAUUGUUGUGACAGCCCUGAUUGUACUUAUACACUGCAUCUGAACAGGGAACAGUCUGCCACAUUAAUGUAUUUUUAAGUGACUUGU